rnacentral:rRNA from 1 species
GGGGCCCUACGGGAGGCAGCAGUGAGGAAUAUUGGUCAAUGGGCGGAAGCCUGAACCAGCCAAGUCGCGUGAGGGAAUAAGGCCCUACGGGUCGUAAACCUCUUUUGCCGGGGAGCAAGGGCCGGGACGAGUCCCGGUCCGGAGAGUACCCGGAGAAAAAGCAUCGGCUAACUCCGUGCCAGCAGCCGCGGUAAUACGGAGGAUGCGAGCGUUAUCCGGAUUUAUUGGGUUUAAAGGGUGCGUAGGCGGGCUUUUAAGUCAGCGUUAGAAAUGCGUGGCUCAACCCCGUCCGGCCGUUG